rnacentral:rRNA from 1 species
AACGCGAAGAACCUUACCUGGACUCGAAAUUUUGUCGACCGUCUCAGAGAUGAGACUUUCCCGCAAGGGACGGCAGAAUAGGUGCUGCAUGGCUGUCGUCAGCUCGUGUCGUGAGAUGUUGGGUUAAGUCCCGCAACGAGCGCAACCCUUACCCUUAGUUGCUCAUCCGAAAGGAAAGCACCCUAAGGGAACUGCCUGGGAUAACCAGGAGGAAGGUGGGGAUGACGUCAAGUCCUCAUGGCCUUUAUGCCCAGGGCUACACACGUGCUACAAUGGCCGGUACAAAACGUCGCAAACCCGCGAGGGGGAGCCAAUCGCUAAAAACCGGUCUCAGUUCGGAUUGCAGUCUGCAACUCGGCUGCAUGAAGCUGGAAUCGCUAGUAAUCGCGUAUCAGAACGACGCGGUGAAUACGUUCCCGGGCCUUGUACACACCGAGACGAC